CAAUAGCGUAUAUUAAAGUUGUUGCAGUUAAAAAGCUCGUAGUUGGACUUGUGGUGGUUCCUGUGGUCCGAUUUCGGUACUUUUGGGAACCGCCAUCCUUGGGUGGAUCCUGUGUGGCAUUAGGUUGUCGUGCAGGGGAUGCCCAUCGUUUACUGUGAAAAAAUUAGAGUGCUCAAAGCAGGCUUAUGCCGUUGAAUAUAUUAGCAUGGAAUAAUGAGAUAGGAUCUUGGUACUAUUUUGUUGGUUUGCGCACCGAGAUAAUGAUUAACAGGGACAGUUGUGGGUAUUCGUAUUCCAUUGUCAGAGGUGAAAUUCUUGGAUUUCUGGAGGACGAACUAAUGCGAAAGCAUUUACCAAGGAUGUUUUCAUUAA
rnacentral:rRNA from 1 species